rnacentral:misc_RNA from 1 species
GACGAACCGGACAAACGUUAUUCGGAAUCAUUGGGCUUAAAGGGUGCGUAGGCGGCUAUGUAAGUUGGGUGUGAAAGCCCUCGGCUCAACCGAGGAAUAGCGCUCAAAACUACAUGGCUUGAGUGAGGCAGAGGUGAGCGGAACUUGCGGUGGAGCGGUGAAAUGCGUUGAUAUCGCAAGGAACACCAGUGGCGAAAGCGGCUCACUGGGCCUUUACUGACGCUGAGGCACGAAAGCUAGGGUAGCGAACGGG